UGAGUAACCUGCCCUUCACUCUGGGAUAACUCCGGGAAACCGGGGCUAAUACUGGAUAUGACUCGAACAGGCAUCUGUUUCGGGUGGAAAGAUUUAUUGGUGGAGGAUGGACUCGCGGCCUAUCAGCUUGUUGGUGAGGUAACGGCUCACCAAGGCAACGAUGCGUAGCCGACCUGAGAGGGUGAUCGGCCACAUUGGAACUGAGACACGGUCCAGACUCCUACGGGAGGNA
rnacentral:rRNA from 1 species